AAACGAAGAAUGAAGGGGAGACAAGAAUGAAACAGUUAGAAGUUAAAAAAAGGUGGUAAUGGAUAUAAAGAAGAGGGAAGCGAUGGAUACUCUUCUAAUCAGCGUUGCUUUUGAGGGUGCAUAUAUGGCAGGGUCUACAUGCUUUUUACUGCCUCUUUGCUUCUGUUUCUGAAAUCUGAAAUCUAGAUAUAAGGGCCCAAUGUUAUCUGCUAGAAGAGAAAGAGAGUGAGAGGAAUCUGCCAUGUUUGACCGUGGACAAAGUGUGAAAAACAGUGCUUAUUCAUCGCUUCUUUAUGUGUUUUUUCACACAGCUUGAGACAUUCAUGUGAGCUAAAUUUCUCACAUUAUAGUUCCCUC
rnacentral:lncRNA from 1 species